UACGGAGGGGGCUAGCGUUGUUCGGAAUUACUGGGCGUAAAGCGCGCGUAGGCGGACCUGCAAGUCGGGGGUGAAAGCCCGAGGCUCAACCUCGGAACUGCCUUCGAUACUGCGGGUCUCGAGUCCGGGAGAGGAGAGUGGAAUUCCUGGUGUAGCGGUGAAAUGCGCAGAUAUCGGGAGGAACACCGGCGGCGAAGGCGGCCCUCUGGACGGUGACUGACGGCUAAGACGCGAAAGCGUGGGGAGCAAACAGG
rnacentral:rRNA from 1 species